rnacentral:misc_RNA from 1 species
GGAAGGAUCAUUAACACAAAUGAUAUAACCUUUUUUUUGUUUAUAGUAUGAGAGGUUUCCUUGGCAACGAGGGGAUCGCUCUAUUAUAACAAAAAAAAUUACCACAAUGGAAAAUGUUAAAGUCUCUUAACAUUAUUACUAAUGUUUAAGAGUCACUUUACUCAUUUCUCACAAAACAAAAACCACUAAAAUGUAAAAAAUAAUAUAUGAUUAUAUCAUAAAACAAUAUAAUCAAAACAAAAAACACAACUUUUAGCGACGGAUCUCUAGGCUCAUGCAACGAUGAAGAACACAGCGAAAUGUGAUAAGUAAUGUGAAUUGCAGAUGUCUGUGAAUCAUCAAGUCUUUGAACGCAAGUUGCGCCACCAAAAGUGGCAUACUUGUUGGAGUGAUGGUUAUAAUCAAAACCACAAAAGAGAAUCUUGUAAGGAGAGAAGAGAAAUCCUCUUUCUGGUCAAGGUAUUGAGAAUCUAGUAAAGAAAUUUAUUAGUUUCUUUCAAUAUAUUUUAAUUACUUUUUCAUAACAAAGUAGAUAUUGUUGGAUGUACAUUAGUACAAUUUAUUCAAUAUCGAAAGGUUUAAGGUAGUUAAACUUAUCGGAACACGGGGCGAGAGACGAAAAGAUGGAGAAAGUUUUUUACUUUCUCUUUCCCUAGUCUCUUCUGCCCCCCCUCUUAACAUCAUCCUCCAAUCAAGUAAGACUACUCCCUGAACUUAAGCAUAUUAAUAAGGGAAGGAAAAGAAACUAACUAGGAUUCCCUCAGUAAUGGCGAAUGAAGUGGGAAUAGCUCAGGUUUAAAAUCUAGCGGCAUGCGCCGCUCGAAUUGUAGUCUUUUGGACGGUCAUAGGGACAAGCACUAGCGCAAGUCCGUUGGAAUACGGCGCCUUAGAGGGUGAGAGCCCCGUAGCUAUAGCUGGCUGACUUGUCUUGUAAUUUGAUCGUUCGUAGAGUCGGGUUGUUUGGGAAUGCAGCCUUAACUGCGAGGUAAAUUCCUUGCAAAGCUAAAUACUGGCAUGAGACCGAUAGCGAACAAGUAGAGUGAUCGAAAGAUGAAAAGAACUUUGAAAAGAGGGUUAAAAAGUACGUGAAAUCGCUAAAAGGGAAGCGAUUGGGUUCAGUAUGGGUAUGUAUCCGAAUCGAGUGUCGUGUAGGUAUAAGAGGUUCACACGUACGGGUCGGUUUACAUCGAUUCCGUGUGGGUUUAUGAAGCUUACGUAGGUGCUCUACUUUUGGUACGUACUAGUCAGUAUCGGUUCGCUUGCGUUGGUGAUAGAAAGGUUGGGGCAUGGUAGGCCGACUGCGGUUAGCUGAAUACCCUGAUUCAUACAAGUCACAUGGCGGACUGAGGUGAUAGAUAAAAGUCUAUCGAUAAAGGGGGUGCCUCUAGGCUGGGCUCUGACGGUCGCAGCGGAUCCGUGGGUGUGCUACUAGUGCAGUAGUAUAUUUACGUGGUCUACUCACGGCUGUCAUCCGCAUACCUCCUCUAGAUACUGACAAAAUGAAUUCAAUCGACCCGUCUUGAAACACGGACCAAGGAGUUCAGCAUAUGUGCGAGUAUUUGGGUGCGAAAAACCCAUAUGCGUAAUGAAAGUGAAGGCUAGUUCGGCUAGCUAAGGUGGGAUGAUCACAUGACGAAUGUAAUCAGCACCAUCGACCGGUCUGGAGAUACUUCGAAAGAUCUGAGUAAGAGCACAUCUGUUGGGACCCGAAAGAUGGUGAACUAUGCCUGCAUAGGGUGAAGCCAGAGGAAACUCUGGUGGAGGCUCGUAGCGAUACUGACGUGCAAAUCGUUCGUCAAAUGUGGGUAUAGGGGCGAAAGACUAAUCGAACCUUCUAGUAGCUGGUUCCCUC